rnacentral:rRNA from 1 species
GCAUAUCAAUAAGCGGAGGAAAAGAAACCAACCGGGAUUGCCCCAGUAACGGCGAGUGAAGCGGCAAGAGCUCAAAUUUGAAAUCUGGCCCCUCCGGGGUCCGAGUUGUAAUUUGCAGAGGAUGCUUCGGGUGCGGCCCCUGUCUAAGUGCCCUGGAACGGGCCGUCAGAGAGGGUGAGAAUCCCGUCUUGGGCAGGGUGCCCGUGCCCGUGUGAAGCUCCUUCGACGAGUCGAGUUGUUUGGGAAUGCAGCUCUAAAUGGGUGGUAAAUUUCAUCUAAAGCUAAAUACCGGCCGGAGACCGAUAGCGCACAAGUAGAGUGAUCGAAAGAUGAAAAGCACUUUGAAAAGAGAGUUAAACAGCACGUGAAAUUGUUGAAAGGGAAGCGCUUGCGACCAGACUCGGCCUCGGGGUUCAGCCAGCAUUCGUGCUGGUGUACUUCCCCGGGGCCGGGCCAGCGUCGGUUCGGGCGGCCGGUCAAAGGCCCCAGGAAUGUAUCGUCCUCCGGGACGUCUUAUAGCCUGGGGUGCAAUGCGGCCAGCCUGGACCGAGGAACGCGCUUCGGCACGGACGCUGGCGUAAUGGUUGCAAACGACCCGUCUUGAAACACGGACCAAGGAGUCUAACAUCUACGCGAGUGUUCGGGUGUCAAACCCGUACGCGCAGUGAAAGCGAACGGAGGUGGGAGCCCCUUUGGGGCGCACCAUCGACCGAUCCUGAUGUCUUCGGAUGGAUUUGAGUACGAGCGUAGCUGUGGGGACCCGAAAGAUGGUGAACUAUGCCUGAAUAGGGCGAAGCCAGAGGAAACUCUGGUGGAGGCUCGCAGCGGUUCUGACGUGCAAAUCGAUCGUCAAAUUUGGGUAUAGGGGCGAAAGACUAAUCGAACCAUCUGGUAGCUGGUUCCUGCCGA